CCUACGGGAGGCAGCAGUGGGGAAUAUUGCGCAAUGGGCGAAAGCCUGACGCAGCGACGCCGCGUGAGGGAUGAAGGUUUUCGGAUCGUAAACCUCUGUCAGCAGGGAAGAACGGUCACUGUGCUAAUCAGCAGUGAAUUGACGGUAUACGCACAGGAAGCACCGGCUAACUAUGUGCCAGCAGCCGCGGUAAUACGGAGGGGGCGAGCGUUAAUCGGAAGUACUGGGCGUAAAGCGCGCGUAGGCGGUAUGUCAAGUCAAGGGGGAAAUCCCAGAGCUCAACGUGGGAACUGCCUUUGAAACUGGCAAACUGGAGUGUGGGAGAGGUAAGUGGAAGUGCAGGUGUAGGGGUGAAAUCCGUAGAUAUAAGGAGGAACACCAGUGGCGAAGGCGGAUUGCUGGACAGUAACUGACGCUGAGGCGCGAAAGCGUGGGGAGCAAACAGGAUUAGAUACCCCGGUAGUC
rnacentral:rRNA from 1 species